UUGUAUUUUAACAUCUUCCAGUUAUGGUUUUUUUUGUAUUCCUAACAUGGGCUUCUUGUGCAGCUUAUAAUAUGUCGUAAGCUGGAAAGUUCAUUUUUUUUUUUUUUAUAUUCGCUGUAUCAUUUGAUCUCAUAUGGAACACCUCUGAUAUUUAUUAAUUUUUCGUUGGUCCCGAUUUUGAACAGAUAGAGGGUGACGAGGGUGCAUAUUGACUUAGCCGAAGCAUUGGACUGAUGUCUCUUUCUUUGUUGAUUAACUUAGCCGAAGCAUUAAAUUGUGGAAGAAUUUAUCAAUUUGAAAUGUUUCCUCAAAGGGUAUAUGCAAGAUCACCACAUCAAGUUUGAUUUAUGGUGCUUAAAUGAGAUGAUCAAGUAUAUUCAAUGUCGUGGAACCAUGGCCAGAAGAUUGAAUUGUUCAUCUGAUGCACAUAGAAAACUUUUUAUGUAAUUAAUAGCUUAAAAGUUGUUUCGGUUACUUUGUUGUUCCUAUUUGGUUAUGAGAACCAUUUAUGUUAUCUCAGAACAU